rnacentral:lncRNA from 1 species
UUUUUUUUUGCGUACUCAUGAACUCCAUCUGUAAUACGUGAAGAUAUUUUCAAAAAAUUGGAAAAUAUAAAUGCUACAGUGUAAUGCGCAAUAAAUAGCGCGUCUACAUUUAUAUUCUUUAAUGCUUUCGCGCUGUGAAUAGGCAAUAGUAGUUAGCUGGUGCAGUGGCUGGCCUCUCUGUGUUGCAGCGCGAGGGCGCAAGAUCGAAUCUGGGUCGAGGGUGCGCCAUCCAGCGGCUGCUGCGGGCGCCAGUUCUCUUGCGCGGUGCAGAAGGCACGCUAUAGGAGCUCCCGCCACGACCUCUCUCAUGAACAGAGAAGGGGGAAGACGCCGGGGUGGGCUGGCUGCACUGUGGCCACUAGGGCCCAGUUCAGUAGUAGCAGUUGUUUUCUUUCUUUUCUUUUUAUCUUUCUUUUGCUUUAUUAAUUCGGUACUGUUUUCUAAUUAAUUGCCAAAGUAAUUAAAUUUAGUUCAACUUGAAAUUUGGCACAUAAUUAGUAGGCAAUAUUUUGAGACCACACACAAGGUUUCACAUGAUUUGGAAAAGUUUAAAUAUUUGCUUAUUUUGAGAAGGCCAAAUUAAAUGCUUUUGGACCACUUAUUAAUUUCCUAGCAAUUUAUGUGUGAGUCAAACCAAGUUGGUUUCAACAUGACAUUGAUUAGGGAAAUUUUAUAGAACUAUUUGAACAUUUUAGUUUUGUAGCUUGAGGAAAUAAUAAUUUGACUUGUCUUUUAAAUUUGAAUUUGAGGUCGGUUUGGGACAAAGUGAUGAUUAACACAUUUUAAUUAUGACGACGUGGCACCAUUAAUAGGAGUUUACUGUAGCAUGACACCGGGGGUGUUACAUCUAGAUUUUCACGUUCAUUACCAUGGUUCUUCAGGUGGUUUUGAUGCUUUCGACAGCGGUGGACCGAACGCCCAUGAGGCUUCAGGUAGUGGGGGUAGUGGUGGACCGAACGCCCAUGAGGCUUCAGGUAGUGGGGCAGCGAAUGCAGAUGUGGGUGCAACCAUUUUCGCAACUGCCAAUGUGUCGGUAAGAUCAGGUGGAAUUGAUGGAACCACCACUCCUUCAGGAACCAAUCAGCCUCUCGAGUCUCAGAUUAUGCUUACUACAUGUUCCGGGAAUAUAUCUAAUGAUGGAUUGCAUAACCAGCCAGAUAUGACGGAUACUCAAAAUGAGGUUGUUGUUGAUGCUUUCAUGAAGAGGUGCGGUUCUUCUCUUGUCCGUAACUUGGAUAAGCAAUAUUCUAGGCGUCGCAAGAAAUUGCGCCUACCUUCUCCGCCCAUGGCCACUAGUACAACCGUUUCUGACCAGCCGUCGUUGGUUGAUACACAUCGUUGUAUCAAGGCAAUGGUCAUCAAUGAGCUUUGCAUUAUAGGCCCUGAUAAGGGCAUUAACUCAGUAAUUGCCGAUCCCACGCGGAAGAAGCAACAUCCUCGCAAGUGAGUUUCUUAUCAUUUGCCAGUCGAGUUCUUUUCAUUUCCUUUUUGUAUUGCAUUUUUUGUUAGUUGUUUCUGCAUGAUAACUUUUUGUACAUAUUUAGAUGUUAUUACUCUUUUGUGUUAGAACUUUUUCUAGCACCUACCUACUGAUAAUUAGAAGUAACUGUGUCUGGAAAGUUUUUAUUCCUCAAUAAGCUUGUGUUCUUGUCUAAAAUUAUUAGUAAUUAUAUCCUGGUAAGGCUAAUAACUUUUAGUAGUUAUUUUCGCGAUAAUAACUUUAGUUUUUCAUUUGAACAAGAUGUAGUUUAACUUUGUUUGCAUGAUAAUUUUAGUAAUUAUAUGCUGGUAAGCAUAUGUUAUUUGUCUCUAGUAACUUUUUUCUCACGUGCACUAUAUCCUUUUCAAAUAACUUGUCAGGGGUUCGAAUUCUCCAUCUAUUAGUGUUGCCGGCCUUCAGCAAACACGGUCUACCAGCAUGGGUAUCACGUCUGAGGUGGUACCUAGUAAUCUUACACGUUCUUCGGCAGAUGUUGACUCGUCUGACAUGUCACGCAGGUGAUUAUGAAUGUUAUUUUUCUCACUAUGGGAAAUCUAAAUGAUUUUCUCUAUUUGUUUAUUUUUCUUGGUAAAUUAGGUGAAUAUAUACCGGUAAUUUAUCUCUUUUAUGUGUGGCAUCACAAACGGUAUGGAAAGGGUUGGUAGUUUUUAUAGUCAAAGCUCUUGUAAGAUUACUAUUAUGUUUAGCAUGAUAAAUUUGUUGGUAACUUUGUUAUCUUCAUAGUUACCAUCUUCAUUAAUGAUUCAUGACGAUGUUGAGUUUUGCAUCAUGUGGAUAACCAAGUUGGCCAUAUGCUGAUAAAUAAGGUGAAUACAAGCUGUUAUAUAAUGCAAAUAUAAUAUGGUAACUAAUGUCUAUAUAAGCUGGUAACUAAUGUUAUAUUAGCUGGUAACUAAUGUUACUAUAAGCUGAUAAUCUUUCUUUUCUUGUACGGCAUAAUUAAUAUGGUACUAUAUAUCUGAUAUGAUUAUUUUGUACAUUUUUCACGAUAAGUAUAACUCCUUUUUUACAACCUUUCAUUUUUUGCCUAUGUGUGCAACAAGAAGACCAUGAUUACUGUGAGAAAGGUUAAGAAGUCUUCCAAAGUUGCAGUUGCAACUAGGUCUUCUCCUCGUUUUGCUUCCAAGGACCCGAAAGAUGAAUUUAAAGGCUCGCCCAUGGUGACUUCUCCAAUGGCCGUUGCGCAAGAUGAUGCCCUUGUGAGGAAUUCAACAGAUGCUAGUUUUAGAGUUGUGGAAGAGCUCGCGGCAGCAGCCACUAGUACUCAAGUGGUAGAAGAGAUUGCCAAUGUUGUUAUUGGCAUUGAAGCUGAAACUUCUGCUAAUCAAGCUCAAGGAAUUGCUCCUACAGGUAGCGCUACCAUAGCUGAAGAUGCCCAAGCUCCUGUCAAAAUACCAUGUGUUGUUCAAGCUCAAGUUGAAUCGGCCCAAUCCACUGUGGUAGAACAAGUUGAAACCGAAGCUGCAGUAGGUGUGGAAGCUCAAGUUGGGGAUGACCAAGUCACUAUUACUCAAGUGGUAGAAGAUAUUGCCAAUGUUGUUAUUGGCACUGACGCUGAAACUUCUGCUGAUCAAGCUCAAGGAAUUGCUCCUACAGGUAGCGCUGUCGUAGCUGAAGAUGCCCAAGCUCCUGUCAAAAUACCAUGUGUUGUUCAAGCUCAAGUUGAAUUGACUCAGUCCACUGUGGCAGAACAAGUUGAAACCGAAGCUGUAGUAGGUGUGGAAGCUCAUGCUGGGGAUGACCAAGUCGCCGCCCAAUAAUUCAACAGUAGUGCAGAUGUAGAAUAUGUUGUUGCUAAGAGGGCCUACUGGGAUUUCACCGCACCAUCUUGCUCUCUUGGCCUAGAUUUUGUCCUUACACCGCCAGGACUAGAUAUUACUACGACGGCCGCAGUCCCAGCUGCAGUACCAGCACCGUCCCCAGCGGUUCUUUCGACAACUCAAGCACCAGUAGUGGACCCAGCGGAUAACAAUGCUCCCCAAGACUGAGCAGCAGCAUCCCCAAUUGAUGAGAUGGCGGCAGCACCUCAAGAUUUAAAGAAUGCAGGAGAUAAUCCUGUUGACGCUAAGCCAAUUUCAUGCUCUGAGCCUGCUGACAUUGGUAAGUGAAGGCAUUUAUGUGUCUUCGUUUUAUCACAAAAGAGUGAUGGGAUGGAUGUCUGCUUUCCAAGACCUUUUUUAUGCUUUCAGUUUGCUCCUUAUCUGUCAGUUUAUGCUCUUUUUAUCCUAUGUAUGGAUGCCCCCCACCCCCACAUCUAAUGACUUCUGCUUUUGUGUAUGUGCUAUGAAAUGAACUUUGUGUUUUGUUUCACAUUCGCUCUCUUCCUUUGUAUGUUGUAUGAUCCGUGGAUGUAUUAUAUGUGGUUAUUAUUGUUCAUUAUUCCUGGUAACAUUUCUAACAUCUGACUAAUAAUUAUAGCGCUCUACUUUUUUGCCGCUAACUACAACUACACGAAAGAUAUUGUACUUUUUUUCUUACCAUUUAAUCGUACGGCAACAUUCACCAUGAUAACCUUUGUCAAUGUUAUGAUGGUAUUUUUUAUGCUAACUAUUUACCUACAUGGUUUCAUUUUUUUUGUGCUAAUUAGUUACCUAAAUGGUAACAUUUUUUAUCACACCCUGGUAACUAUAUUUUGUUUGUUUGUGGAGUUGCUUGUGGAGGUGGUAACUGUAACAUCCAAGUGAUUUUUAUGCUAUAACCAUUGGACUAAUUAAACAUAUGAUCCCCUGAUAACUUCUGCUACCACCAUGUUGAUAACUUCACCCCUUUUUCUUUUUUGUUGCUGAAAACACAUGCCCCCCUUACCCUGCACACAAACACCAUUCUAAUACAUUCAUGCUAACCCUUUAACUAUCCUGACCCCCUCAUUUUCUUCCCUUUUUCUCUAUACAGUAAUUAUAUCAUCAACUUGUACUAACUAUCACUUUUUUCUUUAGCUGUUUUUCCACAUUUUCGACAUUCCUUUUUUCGGUUCACAAACUGACCUGAUCCCAAAUUUUUUAAGAGCGUCGAGUUCGAGUUUAUGAUGCGGAUGUUGAAGACGACGAUGUAAUUAUGUGGGUUGAAAAAGUCGAAUGUGCCACUUUUAGAGCAAAAGCAAAUUACGCUUCUGUAAAAGGUACUAAUAGGAAGAUUUUCUGUAACAAUCUUUUUCCUAUUGCCAACCUUGAUAACAUCAUUAUGUUCAUGUUGAUAACUUAUUGUUCUUAACUCUGACAAGUUCUUUUCUUUUUGUUUCCCCGUAAUAUUUCCUUUUACCAAUCCCAACACUAAUAACUCCCUUCACUUUUCUUAUAGACCACCCCAUCAACCCUGAUUUUUUUACACCAGUUAUUCAACCUCUCAAUGGUAUUCAUUCAGCCAGUGUGACUCCUAAAUCGUACAUUCGGAAAGUUAGUGUAAGCUUCCCAUCGUAGUUCCUACUGCCUCCAUUUGUGGCCUUGCAGCAUCUGCACUCGAAGACGCUAUUUACGUAGAAGUUAUCAAGCACACCACUGAUUCAGUUGACUCCAGGAUAAAACAGUAAUGACAUUUAUUGUUUUCCUUUGCUCCAGUAUUUGACCCUUCACUGGUAAAAACAUUGGCUUAUAUACUAUUUUUCUUUUUUUGCUUUCUAGUACUAGGGUUAUUGACAUCGAUGGGUGGUGGGUCACAUUGGAGGAGCUUGCUAAUAGUGUAAUAGAAGGUGGUCAUGUUUCGAACAAUAUUGCAGAGCUCCACAUCCAAACUCUUUUUGAUUCUGUAACCCCAGGGAAGAUUAUCUUUCCAUAGUUGCUGUCAGUGUAUCUUCUCAUAUGUGAUUUCAAGAGCAAGUUCCUAAUCAAAUAUUUUCGUCGUGAUGUAAACUACAUACUUAGUCACCAAAAUCAGGUUCAUUUUUUGAUGUAAACUACAUACUUUUUUGCUUUUAAAUUCUACAAGCUAUUUUUUAAUUGGUAUAACAGGCAAAAAAAUUAAGAUGUUGAUCUGGUUUUGUCACACAUCAUACCACUAAAGAAUUUUAGUCGGUACCUAGUUCUGUUACUUUUCCAUGGUAACUUUCAUGUAUGCCUGCUGGUAACCUCUGUUGUGUGUGAUUUGAUAACUUGCCUUUUUAACUGUAAAUGCAUUGGUAACUUCUUGUGUUCAUGUGUUCCCAUUUUUUUAACAGCUUUUGUUUCCAACACUGCAAAAGUUGGGACCUCUACCAAAGGACGGGCAUUGGUAUGUCUUGUGCCUUAAUCUCAAGGCAAAACAAUUUGAAGUUCUUAAUUCUCUUCAUCCACAAGAUAGCCCUUCGCUCAUCACACAUGCGGCGAAGCUUAUGAAUGGUAUUAAAAAAGCCUGGUUGAUUGCGUACAAGGACUCGAGUAAGAAGAUCCAAGACUAUGAUCGUGUGUACAUCGAUGUGUUCAAACAGGACAAUGGGUUAGUUUUUUUGGCUAGUAGUCCAUCAUUUUUUCCACUCUAAAUACCCGGUAACUUAGUAGUGUAGCAUUUUAAAAAUUCGCUCAGCUUUUUGCAUAUCUUAUUUUUCUUUUAACACAUUUUUUUUCUUACAACACUGAUUGCAGUUUCUUCGCGUUCAAGAUCUUGGAGUUCUGGGAUGGUAAAAAUAUCCUGGCAAUAACUCAGGAGCAGAUCCCGGUGUUCAGGAAGAUAUUGACAAGCAUGUGGCUGGACCAUCCUCUUAACAAAUGCACGCAAUGGCACUAUCACUUGUUUAAUAAGAAGUAAUUGAGGUAAGGAAUUUGCACCAAUAUAAGUUUGAAUCUAUGUUUAAGAAUGAUGAUAGUUUAUUCUUACUCACGUUGGACAAACAUAUCCAUGCUGAACAAUCUGAUCGCUUUUUUUUCUGGGCUGAUUACUAUCUUUUUUAUACAUUUUUUAGUGAUAACUUAUGUUAGUCAGUGCUGAUAACAUAUCUUAUCUGGUGCUGAUAACUUUCUAUUUCAUGGUGCCAUAACAUUUUGCUCACAGACAAAGAACGAUAACUAAUCUCAUUCUCAGUGCUGAUAAUCCCCAUUACAUUUUGGAUGAUAACUUGCAUGUUUCAGUGCUGAUAACUUUUCAUUACAUGGCGUCAUAACAUUUUGCUCAGAAAUGAAGAACGAUAACUAAUCUCAUUCUCAGUGCGGAUAAUCCCCAUUACAUUUUUGGAUGAUAACUUGUAUGUUUCAGUGCUGAUAAAUUUUCAUUACAUGGUGUCAUGACAUCGUUUACAAAAUAAAAAUGGUAAAACUAAUAAGUAAAUUUACAUAGCACACUGAUAACUUGCACUUCAAUGCCCAUCUAACUUUUUUGCACUUCAAGUUGGUAAACUUAUCCCCUUUGUGUUCUUUCAAUUUACUGCAAACUUGAAGAUAACUUUGUCUAACAUUUAGCUGGUAACGUACGGAACGCUUGACAAUCUUAUUUUUUAGGUCUCACCUGUUUCUCGGUGCGGGAUGGGUGAGGUACAUUUGCAUUUAUCAUGUUUUGUCGACCCGCCGACUCUACAUUUCCUCUUUUUCUGGUUUUGCAAUGUCAAAUGGGUGUUGAAAUCUUUUAUCUUUUGGACGCCCUUUCGUAGUAGACUUUGGUGGGUCUAGUAUCAUUCUUGUGUUUGAUGAUUGGGAUCCCUCGGCAUGUGAGCCCUGGAACUCAAAAGUAUUGCCAGAAACAUGCCUGGCAGGAAUGCUUCCUUGAUGCGCUACUGGGACACCUUUAGUGGCACUAGUCCCUGGCGGUGAAGAAAACAUUUCUGCUUCUUCUCCCUCAUCUUUCUCCUUUCUUGCUUUCUUUAUCUGCCUCUUUUCAGUGCAUCCAUGUCGUCUCUGAAAGCAUCAACGUGUUUCCUUGCCAAUGCCAUCCCUUCAUAUUCACCACAUGCCAAUUCCAAUGCCAAGCUCAAUAUGCAAGAGCCUAAGCUUGGGGAUGCCCAAGUCACCCCAAGGUAAUAUUCAAGGACAACCAAGAGCCUAAGCUUGGGGAUGCCCCGGAAGGCAUCCCCUCUUUCGUCUUCGUUCAUCAGUAACUUUACUUGGAGCUAUAUUUUUAUUCACCACAUGAUAUGUGUUUUGCUUGGAGCGUCAUUUUCUUUUGUUGGUAUUUGCUUGCUGUUAUUUAGAAUAAUGUUUUGCAUCUUUAUUUUCAAUAAAAAUGUCAAUGAUAGCCUUUACCAUGCUUAUUUUGCUAGUAUACAUGUUGCUGUUUGAAAACAGAAAGUUUACCGCUGUUGCAAAAAUUUCCUAGAAAAGUCAAAGGAUGGUAUAAUGUUGAAACUUUUUGCAUAUUGAGCUAUGAUAAAUAUUCUACAGUGAGGUAUUUUUCUCAUAAUUUUUGGAGUUAGGGAAGUAUGAUGAAUCUUGCAUUCUUUACAGACUAUACUGUUUUGGCAGAUUGCUGUUAUAUUUGCAUUGUUUGCAUAUGUUGCUUGUUUAAUGAUUCUAUUUGAGGAUAGGAGUAUUAAAUAUGUAGAGUCAUUUAGUAUGCAAUGUUUAAUAAUAAUUUUAGUGAUUUUUUACACUAGAAAAUGAUAAGUUUUUGCAUUGGUUUAUACUAACCUAUCUCACGAGUUCUUGUUGAGUUUGGUGUGGAUGAAGCUUUUGAUAAAAAGAGAAACCAUGAUAUGAGAGGAAUUAAGGAGACACAAAAGCUCAAGCUUGGGGAUGCCCAAGGCACCCCAAGAUAAUAUUUCAAGAAGUCUCAAUCAUCUAAGCUUGGGGAUGCCUCGUUAGGCAUCCCACCUUUCAUCUUCAACAACUAUCGGUUAGUUUCAGUUGAGCCUAAGUUUUUGCUUCUUCACUUGAGUUGUGCUAUCCUUGCAAUGUCAUUUUAUUUUGCUUUGCUUGCUUUUUGAAUAAAAUACCAAGAUCUGGAAUUCUUAAAUGAGAGAGAGUCUUCACAUAGUUACAUAAUUAUUUAGCUACUCAUUGAUCUUCACUUAUAUCUUUUAAGAGUAGUUUGUCAUUUACUCGUGUGCUUCACUUAUAUCCUAUGAGUAAAUGGUUGAAUGAGUUAAAUGUCAUAAAUCUGAAAUUAUAUAUGUCUUAUUUGCUUAUCCCAUGUGGAGUAAUGACUUCACAUCUAAGAAGUAGAGGUUGUAAAUUUAUUGAAGGUUAGCAAGCAUUGUAUUGGUCAUUUGAACAAUUCAUGAAAGAAUAUUGAAGGAAGAGAGAUUUCACAUAUAAAUAUACUAUCCUAGACAUCUUUUAUAAUUGUGAGCACUCAUUAAGUAUGACAUGCUAAAGAUUUGAUGUUGGACAAAGAAGACAACGUAAUGGGUUAUGUUUUCUCACAUCUCAGUUAAAAGAUAUUGUCAUGGAUCAUUCAAACAUGUUGAGCUUGCCUUUCCCCCUCAUGCUAGCCAAAAUUCCUUGCACCAAGUAGAGAUACUACUUGUGCUUCCAAAUAUCCUUAAACCUAGUUUUGCCAUGAGAGUCCACCAUACCUACCUAUAUGCGGUAUUUACCUGUCGUUCCAAGUAAAUUUGCAUGUGCCAAACUCUAAACCUUCAAAUAAUAAUCUGUUUUGUACGCCUGAAUUGCUCAUGUAGCGACUAGGGGUUGUCAAUAUCUUCCAUGCUAGGUGGGUUAUUCUCAAUAUGAGUGGACUCCGCUCAUCAUUCACGAGAAAAAUGGCUCGUAACCGGGAUGCCCAGUCCCAUGAUCAAAAGAUCAAAAUCAAAUCAAAAAUAAUUGCAAACAAAACUCCCCCAGGUUUGAUGUUAGUUGGAGGCACCCGUUGUUUCGGGCAAGCCAUGGAUUGAUGAUUGUUGGUGGAGGGGGAGUAAAAACUUCUACCAUUCUGUUUGGGAACCGCCUAUAAUGUAUGUAGUAUGGAAGAUAUUGGGAACUCUUGGUUGUUAUGUUGACAAUGAGAUCAUACCUCCCAGAAUUAUUUAUCUCUAUUUCAAAAUUGAGCUCUGGCACCCCUGCAAAUCACUACUUCCCUCUGCGAAGGGCCUAUCUUUUACUUUUAUGCAAGAGUCAAGGUGAUCUUCACCUUUCCCUUUUUCAUUUUAUCCUUUGGCAAGCACCUCGUGUUGGAAAGAUCCUGAUAUAUAUAUCCAAUUGGAUGUAAGUUAGCAUGAACUAUUAUUGUUGACAUCACCCAAAGGUGAAUUCGUUGGGAGGCGAAAUUAUAAGCCCCUAUCUUUCUCAGUGUCCGAUUAAAACUCCAUAACCAUAAGUAUUGCAUGAGUGUUAGCAAUUGUAGAAGACUAUAUGAUAGUUGAGUAUGUGGAGUUUGCUAAAUCAAAGCUCUGACAUAGACCCUUCCUGAAAAUAAGAUGAAUUGCAGUUGUUUGAUGACUGAGAACAUAGUUUGCUAGUUUUCAAGAGUUUAUGGUCUAUGCUUUAACAUGUGAAUUGCUUGUUACUUGUUCGUGAGAAGUUUUAUGAGAUGAAGUACUGUUAUGACAUAUAAUCAUGCUAGAAAAGGUGAUUGAAAUUAUCAUUGAUCAAACUUGUGCACCUGCUAGCAUUCACACUUCAUAAAUUCUUUCUUUUAUCAUUUACCUACUUGAGGACGAGCAGGAAUUAAGCUUGGGGAUGCUAAUACAUCUCCAACGUAUCUAUAAUUUAUGAAGCAUUCAUGCUAUUUUAUUAUCUGUUUUGAAUGAUUACGGGCUUUAUUAUACACUUUUAUAUUACUUUUGGGACUAACCUAUUAACCGGAGGCCCAUCCCAUAUUGUUGUUUUAUUGCUUGUUUCAGUAUUUCGAAGAAAAGGAAUAUCAAAUGGAGUCCAAACGGAAUGAAACCUUCGGGAGCGUGAUUUUUGGAACGAACAUGAUCCGGGAGACUUGGAGUACAAGCCAGGGAAGCUUCAAGGAGGCCGGGAGAUAGGAGGGUGUGCCCCCUGUCUCGUGGGCCCCUUGAGACUCCCCCAACUGACUUCUUUUGCCUAUAUAUUCCCUUAUACCCUAAAACCAUCGAAUACGAAGAUAGAUCGGGAGUUCCGCUGCCGCAAGCCUCUGUAGCCACCAAAAACCUCUCGGGAGCCUGUUCCGGCACCCUACCGGAGGGGGAAUCCCUCACCGGUGGCCAUCUUCAUCAUCCCGAUGCUCUCCAUGACGAGGAGGGAGUAGUUCACCCUCGGGGCUGAGGGUAUGUACCAGUAGCUAUGUAUUUGAUCUCUCUCUCUCUCUCAUGUUCUCUUUAUGGCAUGAUCUUGAUGUAUCGCGAGCUUUGCUAUUAUAGUUGGAUCUUAUGAUGUUUCUCCCCUCUACUCUCUUGUGAUGAAUUGAGUUUUCCUUUUAAAGUUAUCUUGUUGGAUUGAGUCUUUAAGGAUUUGAGAACACUUGAUGUAUGUCUUGCCGUGCUUAUCUGUGGUGACAAUGGGAUAUCACGUGAUCCACUUGAUGUAUGUUUUGGUGAUCAACUUGCGGGUUCCGCCCAUGAACCUAUGCAUAGGGGUUGGCACAUGUUUUCGUCUUGACUCUCCGGUAGAAACUUUGGGGCACUCUUUGAAGUACUUUGUGUUGGUUUGAAUAGAUGAAUCUGAGAUUGUGUGAUACAUAUCGUAUAAUCAUGCCCAUGGAUACUUGAGGUGACAAUGGAGUAUCUAGGUGACAUUAGGGUUUUGGUUGAUUUGUGUCUUAAGGUGUUAUUCUAGUAUGAACUCUAUGAUAGAUUGAACGAAAAGAAUAGCUUCAUGUUAUUUUACUACAGACUCUUGAAUAGAUAGAACAAAAAGGAUAACUUUGAGGUGGUUUCGUACCCUACCAUAAUCUCUUCGUUUGUUCUCCGCUAUUAGUGGCUUUGGAGUGACUUGUUGCAUGUUGAGGGAUAGUUAUAUGAUCCAAUUAUGUUAUUAUUGUUGAGAGAACUUGCACUAGUGAAAGUAUGAACCCUAGGCCUUGUUUCCUACCAUUGCAAUACCGUUUACGCUCACUUUUGUCAUUAGUUACCUUGCUGUUUUUAUAUUUUCAGAUUACAAAAACCUAUAUCUACCAUCCAUAUUGCACUUGUAUCACCAUCUUUUCGCUGAACUAGUGCACCUAUACAAUUUACCAUUAUAUUGGGUGUGUUCGGGACACCAGAGACUCUUUAUUAUUUGGUUGCAGGGUUGUUUGAGAGAGACCAUCUUCAUCCUAUGCCUCCCACGGAUUGAUAAACCUUAGGCCAUCCACUUGAGGGAAAUUUGCUACUGUCCUACAAACCAGUGCACUUGUAGGCCCAACAACGUCUACAAGAACAAGGUUGUGUAGUAGACAUCACUCAUCACGAUCAAACUUGCAGCAAGUGCAUGAGUAUACCCCUUCAUCCUUGUUUGCCUGCACAUGGUAGUCCCUAUCCCCAUAAUUUGGUAGUAUCCCUCGGAGUGACCACACCCUGAAGGUUCCAUCUUGCAAAGUGUCGCAUCCAUAAGCAGUAUUUAGCUUCAUCUCUACUUGGAACUUGGAGAACAAAUUUUGCGUGUAUAUCCCUCACAUCUGCAACUCGAUUAGGUUCAAUGAAUACAUGUCUGCCUCUUUGUAAAUUGUGUCCACUUGCUCUUUCGCCACGACCACCAUUACUUUCUCCUUGAUUGCAGUGUAUUGAGUUGCAAACUCAAUCAAUGAGUUGUUGGGGUUCAUGUACUUCUUUAGCACAGCAUUGAAUCCCUGGCUCCUUGCAGUUGUCUGCAAGAAUGGAAAGAAAUACUUCAUGUAGUACACCGGGCCCAACAUUUCCUAUUUUCCCACAACCAGUGAAAAUGUUCAUUGUCAAUCUGUCCAUAUUCAUCCAUCAUUGCCCACCAUUUGUUUUCAAACUCUUCCUCUGUGUACACAAAACAUGAGCCGAGAAAAUUACAACGUCAUCCACAAAUCAAUGGUAAUUAAAGUACAAAUAUGCUGGUAACUUUUCUUAGUUUUUAGGUGGUAACAUCAUGGAACCAGUUUUCCAGAUUAUUGGUUCUUUUUCAUCUGUGAAAUUUUUCUUCUUUUUGUUUGUUUUACACCUAGGCCGGUAACUUUCUAAAUUAAUAGUUGGUCACAACAUAUGUAGUUUUUCCGGUACAAAAUAACUAGACCCAUUUUGCCAAUAUCAAACGUAAAUGUUUUGUUAGUUUUCUUUCUACCCAGAUGGUGGUUACCUGUCCACACAUUUUUUUGCCCAUGGUAAUUGAUGUUUCUGUAGUGAACUGCCCCCCUGGUAAUAUAACCUACAAGAUCAUGGUCACCUGUAUAGACCUACACAUGGUAACCUAAAUAUGGUAAAUUGACCUCACAAAUUUUUAUAUGGCUUCUCAAGUUUGCUGCAUUGUAAUUAAAAUGUGUCAGCAGAGUAGGUAUGUACCAGUCAAGCUGUUGUCAACACAGUCUUUGAACGCUUUCUUUAGUGGUUUAUCAUCAGCCAUAAGCUUUCCAAGUUUCUCAUGCGCCUUUUUCAUUAUAUGCCAGCGGCAAUUUCUAUGUAUUAUGUUCAAGAAGACCUCGUCGACCGCACUCCUCAUUGCAAAGUCCCGAUUUGUGAUGAUGUUUUUCGAGGCAACACCACCCAUUGCAUGGAGGAAGGUGUUAAACGGCCACACAAAGUUCUCCUUUAGUUUGUUUUGAACGAAGCCACACCCAAACUGGAUGGAUUGACCAUGGUUAUUAAUUCCAAUGAAUGGUGCACAUGGCAUCUUGUACAUGUUUGUCAUGUAUGUCGUGUCGAACGACAAACAAUCAUUAUAAUUUGCAUAUGCCCUGCGUGAUGCGCCAUCAAUCCAGAACAAGUUCUCAACCCUAUCCUCAUCAUCAAGCUUGAUUCUCCAGUAGAAAUAUGAAAUUUUGGCCCUCGUCUCUUGGAAGUACGCAAUUUUGCUCCCAACGUCCGCGCGGCGGUGCUCUAAGCGGAACUUAGCUCAUUAAUUAGCAAUGUCUUGUGUCUCAAAGUUGCAUCCAUGCAGAACCCUCAAGAAGUCCCGAUCCUACUUUGGAAUGUACCGAUGUGAUGAUAAGAAUUUUGUUAGGGACGGCUUUUUGAUGAGUGGGUGAUUCUGGUUGCCCUCGAAAUGUCCAACAGUUCACCAUGCAUCAUCGUGGGAUAGGUACAUGUGUGCUUCACAUUCAGUCCUAACAACCUUCUUUUUUUCCUCUUCUUGACAAUGUUGGCUGGGUUUUCCACAUCUUGCGGUUCAUCCCUGUCCCUACGUUGUUUGCCAUAUUUUGUAAAAACUAGGAGCACCCUACUUAUAGUUCCAUCAACCCUCUCUUUCUUGAAUUGCUUCCUAAUUGCAAAGCCAGUCCUGCGUGGGUAGAUGUUGUAGUGGUCACGUGCGCUCUCCAGAGUGUCAAAUUUUGUCCCUUGUAAAGGUGGCUUAGGUGUGGAAUAUGCCUCCAUAUUGUUGCCUUCCAUAUCAGCAUCGAUCCCAGCUGAUUCUAGAGUUGUAGGUUCACUUAUUGUCUACUCUGCAAGGCUCCCAACUCCUAUGCUUGCACUUUUUCCAGCACUAGGUGCAUUUGUUCCACCACUAGGCAAGUUGUUGUUUGCGCUGAUUGCCCGAGCACCUGCAAUUUGGCCUGGUAGAUUAGUGGAAUCUAGUAUGAUAAAUAACAGUUUUCCAUCAUGGUAGUUUUCUGAAGAAUUAGUGAAUGUAAUUUUUUUCUACCCAAACAACCCUGGUAUUUUUCCUAUUUUGAGCUUGGUAAUAUAUGAUCACCAAUGUUGGUAAUUUUCAAACCCACUUCACUAGUAAAGUAUAAAACUGUUUUUUUAUUCCAUGAUGAUAUGUAAACACUAAUGCUGGUAAUUUUACAUGUUUCCAUGAUGUUUGGGUACGCAGAAUUGUUGCUUGGUGUGCGCGUUGCAUCAUCCUGUUCAUGCAUUCUCCCUCCUCCUGCAUCUUCUGCAUUAUCUCCUCUACUAGCAUCCAUUAUCUCCUCCUGCUUCAUUCUUUUUUAUGUUUGCACGUUAGUAUACGUUUACACGUGUUCACUCUUAUUUUGGAACUCAUCGUUUUGUUUACUCUUUACAUAGUUUUUUGAAGGCAAGAAUCGCAGGGGUGAUUGGCAAGAAUAUUAAACAGGACAAUUACAGUACAACACGAGCAUCUCCAUUAAAAGGCACCACUUUUAUUUAUCCAAUGGUAGUACUUAACAAAAGUGGAUGAUAACUUUUACUAUGUACAGAUUGGUAACUUGCUUACUUCAUGCAGUAUAGCAUUUUCUAGACACAAAAAUGAACCUAUUUGUAAUGCAUUUUCCAUUGAAGGAGAGUAUGAUUUUUGUGAUCAAUAAAGGUCCCUCUUUCCUUUAUCUGUGUUUAUUUUUCCAUGGUAGACACAAAAUCCAUGUUUUAUAUAGCAAGGGGGUGUGGUAUAUGGUGGGUAGUCUGUUAUGUUGCAUAUAGUUGGUAACAAAAAGUGCGAGGGGUUGGUAAUUUUGCACAGAUUUUGAUGGUAAGUCACUGUACUAGGCAGGAUUAUCAGAGAAUUUUGCUUAUUCUGUUUCCAUGAGAUGGAGGGAUGGUAAUUUUUGCACAGAUUGGGAGGGGGUGGGGUAAGUCUUUGUAGUAAGCAGAAUUUUUUGGAGAUGUUGGAUGAGUUUUGUUUCUUACCAGGGGUGGGGUGAUGUUGCCUGGUGAUUUGUUCGCUGGAUCCCUGGUAAUUUCCCCCGUCUAGGCCUCUGGUUUGAUGUAUGCAGAGUAGUAGGCCUCUGGAAUGAUCCAGAUCUGGAGGAGUGGUAGGUUUUUGGUGUUGAUUUGAGUAGCUGGGUAGGGGGGAGGGACAGGUGGGUGGUCACUGGUGCCAUAAGGUGCUAUACAAAUGAUUUUUAACCCCUUUCCGCGAUGACAUUUGGAACAUUCGCCAAGUGAGUGUGGGCGAUAGGGGCUCUUUCCCACACGAGCCAGAAACCGUCGGGGAUGAGCGAGCGGCUACUGACGAUCGCCAUAGAAUAAAUGUAUGAGAAGCCGCCCCAGUCACACACGUUACAUCUCUGACGUUACGUUUAUGAUCAGAGAGACAUCCCAAGCGAUUACGCCGCUAUAAUCGUGUGAAAAAGGUGGACAUUAACAUUUAAUCUGCUAAUAUGUUUGUGAUUGGUACGUAAUCGCACACGGUUCAAGAAUGUAAAAUGUGUGUGGUGCCUCUACUAACGCCAACGUGCCAAUUUUCAUAACUGUGUGCGAUUGGUAUUCCUAUCACACAUGCACACCGGUUUGAAACGUUUGCCAUAUUACCAUGAAUCGCACACGCAUAUGAGAUGAAACCGUGUGUUCGUCCAUCGAGCAUCACAAAUGUUUCACAUCAAAGAACCGUCUGUUUUCAUUUUUUUCAUCACACACGUUGUUUUCUUUCUAACCGUGUGCACAUUAUUUUAUUUGCUCAUGUACAUUUUUGCUGUAAUUUAUUAUUCAAAUUGGAAAUUUUGAAAUAUGAAACAUGCAAUUCAAAUUCUCAGCACAAUGGACGAAUAGCGAAUCCACAAAUAAAAUUGCCAGUACAAUAUGUUCAGUAAUUACAGGAUUAGACAGCAAUUAACUAUGAUGAACCACAAAUUUACAGGCGGUAAAGGUGAAGAGACAAGUGUAAAUCAUUUUGACUGUCGAUGGUGUUGAAGAAGCGGAAUGCCCAUAAUGUGCCUUCCUGCAUGCCAUAGGCACAAACAACUUUUGUCCAACCCCUUGUGACGAUCGCCCACCCAUCCUUCACCGCCUUCAAGAAGACUUCUAGAGCAUUAUCAUGGUAGCAUGAAUUAUAUACUUUAACCUUAGUUUUCUCCACUCCGGUCAUGUAGUUUGCAAGGUAAUCAUCAUUAAAUAGCUUCGGAAACUACUGAAAAGAGAAAAAUAUCAGAUCAUGAGGUCUAAUAGAGUAACUUGUUGUGGGCAGGGGGAAAAGGCAACACAUUACUUACCAUCCUAAAGUUCACUGUUGUCUUGGAGAAAGUGUAAGUAAAGAGCUUAAUUCCCAUCAUCAGUUUUUUUUGCCUAACAAUCUUUCUUAGUUUCCUCACUUGAUGCUUGUUCAUGAAUAUCUCAUUGCCCCAUACGCAAAAGGGAUCGAAGCGUGGAUCAGUACCGCUCAUAUAUGUACGUACAAGCAACCAGUAAAUGUUAGAAGCUAAACUGAGAUUGCAUAAAUGAUGUAAAAUACAACUACCUAUAUUCCUAAGUACAAGUAUUUUUAGAGAUUUCAGUAUGGAUGUACAUAUAUGGAUGUAUAUAGAAUUAUAGAUAUAGUUUAGAUUAGAAUCUAGAUUCACUCAUUUUGCUCCUUAUGUAGUCUAUAUUGGAAUCUCUAAAAAUACUUAUAUUUAGGAAUAGAUGGCGUAUAAGACAUGGGAUGCAGCUAACCUCGACGGCAAACAACAGCAUCACCCAUUGUAGCCAUGUGUAAGUACAUGGAAAGCCAAUGUUAACUACAACAGGGUUAACAUACACCAAAAAUAGCAAAUGGUAAUAAAACGGCAGUAUCUGUAGUGAUAUCUUCAUUGCGAAAGAGUAGCACGGUAGCAAAGGGUCGAAAUAAAAAAUGGAUACAACUGUUUAUUGCAACAGACUUAACAGCAUCCUACUUCAUGUUUUGUAAGUUUGUAGCCAUUGAAAUACAACUGUUUAAAAAUGGAUACAACUAUUAAAUGCAAUAGGCUUAAUGGCCAUUGAAACUGGUACUGAUAAAAAUGCAAUUGGCAGAGUUAAACAUCACAAGGCAGGUGCUGCCAGAGCAGAUAAUGGCCCAAUUGUCUAUAAAAAGGUAGGGGAAAUAUCUUUAAUGUGUUGGGCAUUUUUACUACAACAUGCUUAAUACAUUGACCCUACAAAAUAUAGUCAUUAAUUACAACUGGUAUUGGUAAGAUCGAACUGGUGAGUACAUAGUUGGUAAGUCCUGAGAGGUAGUUGAUGGGCACUUCAUCUUGGCCAGACCCUGCCCAAAGUCAGCGGCGGCGGAGGCGAGCUCUUCCUUCGGGUCGAAGCAUGGAUAAGUGCCCCCGAUAUGUGUACCUACAAGAAGCAAGAAAAUGUUAGAAGCCAAAUUGCAAUUGCACAAAUGACAUAAAAUACUUUAAGCCAUGGGAUGCGGCUAACCUCGACGGUAAACAACAUCAUUGCCCGUUAUGGCCCUGCAUAAGUACAUGGAAAGCCAUGUUAAGUAUAACAGGGUUAGCAUCCACCAAAAAUAGCAAAUGAGCAGCAUCUCUAGUAUAUCUUCAUUGCGGAGAGUUGUUGGAAAUAUGCCCUAGAGGCAAUAAUAAAUUAGUUAUUAUUAUAUUUCCUUGUUCAUGAUAAUCAUUUAUUAUCCAUGCUAUAAUUGUAUUGAUAGGAAACUCAGAUACAUGUGUGGGUACAUAGACAACACCAUGUCCCUAGUAAGCCUCUAGUUGACUAGAUCGUUGAUCAAUAGAUGGUUACGGUUUCCUGACCAUGGACAUUGGAUGUCGUUGAUAACGGGAUCACAUCAUUAGGAGAAUGAUGUGAUGGACAAGACCCAAUCCUAAGCCUAGCACAGAGAUCGUGUAGUUCGUAUGCUAAAGCUUUUCUAAUGUCAAGUAUCUUUUCCUUAGACCAUGAGAUUGUGCAACUCCCGGAUACCGUAGGAAUGCUUUGGGUGUACCAAAUGUCAUAACGUAACUGGGUGGCUAUAAAGGUGCACUACAGGUAUCUCCGAAAGUGUCUGUUGGGUUGGCACGAAUCGAGACUGGGAUUUGUCACUCCGUGUGACGAGAGGUAUCUCUGGGCCCACUCGGUAGGACAUCAUCAUAAUGUGAACAAUGUGAUCAAAUAGUUGAUCGCAGGAUGAUGUGUUACGGAACGAGUAAAGAGACUUGCCGGUAACGAGAUUGAACAAGGUAUCGGUAUACGGACGAUCGAAUCUCGGGCAAGUACAAUACCGUUAGACAAAGGGAAUUGUAUACGGGAUUGAUUGAGUCCUUGACAUCGUGGUCCAUCCGAUGAGAUCAUCGUGGAACAUGUGGGAGCCAACAUGGGUAUCCAGAUCCCGGUUGGUUAUUGACCGGAGAACGUCUCAGUCAUGUCUACAUGGUUCCCAAACCCGUAGGGUCUACACACUUAAGGUUCGAUGACGCUAGGGUUAUAAAGCAAGUUAAUAUGUGGUUACCGAAUGUUGUUCGGAGUCCCGGAUGAGAUCCCGGACGUCAUGAGGAGUUCCGGAAUGGUCCGGAGGUAAAGAUUUAUAUAUGGAAAGUUGUUGUUCGGGUUCCGGAAAAAGUUCGGGUUUUUUCGGUAUUGUAUCGGGAAGCUUCCAGAAGGUUCCGGAGGAUUCCGGAGGGGUCUGGAGGUCCGGAAAUUGUUCCACCACGUCCAAUACAGUAGCAUGGGCUGUAGGGGGGCGCCCUAGCCUUAAUGGGCUAGGGGCACCAGCCGCCCCAAGGCCGAUGUGCAUGGGAAGGGGAAAACCCUUAGGGGGAGGGCCUCCACUUGACUUGGGAGGCACUCCUCCCCCCCUUGGCCAUCGCCCCCUCCUCAGAUUGGAUCUGAGGGGGCCGGCCCCUUCUCCCUUGCCCCUAUAUAUAUGUGGGGGUGGGAGGGCAGCCGCACCACAAGUUCUGGCGCAGCCCUCCCCCUCUCCCAAGCCCUCCUCCUCUCCCGCGGUGCUUGGCGAAGCCCUGCAGGAUUGCCACGCUCCUCCAUCACCACCACGCCGUUGUGCUGCUGCUGGAUGGAGUCUUCCUCAACCUCUCCCUCUCUCCUUGCUGGAUCAAGGCAUGGGAGACGUCACUGGGUUGUACGUGUGUUGAACGCGGAGGUGCCGUCCGUUCGGCACUAGGAUCUCCGGUGAUUUGGAUCACGACGAGUACGACUCCUUCAACCCCAUUCUCUUGAACGCUUCCGCUUAGCGAUCUACAAGGGUAUGUAGAUGCACUCUCCUUCCCCUCAUUGGUGGUUUCUCCAUAGAUAGAUCUUGGUGACACGUAGGAAAAUUUUGAAUUUCUGCUACGUUCCCCAACAGUGGCAUCAUGAGCUAGGUCUAUUGCGUAGGUUCUUUGCACGAGUAGAACACAAAGUAGUUGUGGGCGUUGAUUUUGUUCAAUAUGCUUACCGUUACUAGUCCAAUCUUGUUUCGACGGUAUUGUGGGAUGAAGCGGCCCGGACCGACCUUACACGUACUCUUACGUGAGACAGGUUCCACCGACUGACAUGCACUUGGUGCAUAAGGUGGCUAGCGGGUGCCAGUCUCUCCCACUUUAGUCGGAACGGAUUCGAUGAAAAGGGUCCUUAUGAAGGGUAAAUAGCAAUUGACAUAUCACGUUGUGGUUUUGCGUAGGUAAGAAACGUUCUUGCUAGAAACCCAUAGCAGCCACGUAAAACAUGCAAACAACAAUUAGAGGACGUCUAACUUGUUUUUGCAGGGUAUGCUAUGUGAUGUGAUAUGGCCAAGAAGAAUGUGAUGAAUGAUAUGUGAUGUACGAGAUUGAUCAUGUUCUUGUAAUAGGAAUCACGACUUGCAUGUCGAUGAGUAUGACAACCGGCAGGAGCCAUAGGAGUUGUCUUUAUUUAUUGUAUGACAUGCGUGUCAUUGAACAACGCCAUGUAAUUACUUUACUUUAUUGCUAACCGGUAGCCAUAGUAGUGGAAGUAAUAAGUUGGCGAGACAACUUCAUGGAGACACGAUGAUGGAGAUCAUGAUGAUAGAGAUCAUGGUGUCAUGCCGGUGAUGAUGAUGAUCAUGGAGCCCCGAAGAUGGAGAUCAAAAGGAGCAAUGUGAUAUUGGCCAUAUCAUGUCACUAUUUGAUUGCAUGUGAUGUUUAUCAUGUUUAUGCAUCUUUUUGCUUAGAUCGACGGUAGUAAAUAAGAUGUUCCCUCAAUAAAAUUUCUAGAAAGUGUUCCCCCUAACUGUGCACCGUUGCGAAAGUUCGUCGUUUCGAAGCACCACGUGAUGAUCGGGUGUGAUAGAUUCUUACGUUCACAUACAACGGGUGUAAGACAGAUUUACACCCGCAAAACACUUAGGUUGACUUGACGAGCCUAGCAUGUACAGACAUGGCCUCGGAACACAAGAGACCGAAAGGUCGAGCAUGAGUCGUAUAGUAGAUACGAUCAACAUGAAGAUGUUCACCGAUGAUGACUAGUCCGUCUCACGUGAUGAUCGGACAUGGCCUAGUUGACUCGGAUCAUGUAAUCACUUAGAUGACUAGAGGGAUGUCUAUCUGAGUGGGAGUUCAUGAGAUGAACAUAAUUAUCCUGAACAUAGUCAAAAGAUCUUUGCAAAUUAUGUCGUAAGCUCGCGCUUUAGUUCCACUGUUUAGAUAUGUUCCUAGAGAAAAUAUAGUUGAAAGUUGACAGUAGCGAUUAUGCGGAUAGAAGAAAGCUUAUGUCCUUAAUGCACCGCUCAGUGUGCUGAACCCCAAACAUCGUCUGUGGAUGUUGCGAACAUCGGACAUACACGUUUUGAUAACUACGUGAUAGUUCGGUUAAACGGUUUAGAGUAGAGGCACCAAAGAUGUUUUUGAAACAUCACGAAACAUAUGAGAUGUUUCGAGGACUGAAAUUGAGAUUUCAGGCUCGUGCCCACGUCAAGAGGUAUGAGACCUCUGAUGAUUUUCUUAGCCUGCAAACUAAGGGAGAAAAGCUCAAUCGUUCAGCUUGUGCUCAGAUUGUCUGAGUGCAACAAUCACUUGAAUCGAGUGGGAGUUGAUCUUCCAGAGAUAGUGAUGUUUCUCCAAAGUCAUUGCCACCAAGCUGCUAGAGCUUCAUGAGGAACUAUAACAAAUCAGGGAUAGAUAUGAUGAAUCUUGAGAUAUUCGCGAUGUUUGACACCGCGAAAGUAGGAAUCAAGAAGGAGCAUCAAUUGUUGAUGGUUAGUGAAACCACUAGUUUCAAGAAGGGCAAGGGCAAGAAGGGAUACUUCAUGAAACAGCAAAUCAGCUGCUGCUUUAAUGAAGAAACCCAAGGUUGAACCUAUACCCGAGACUAAGUGCUUCCGUAAUAAGGGGAACAGCCACUGGAGUAGAAUUACCCUAGAUACUUGGUAGAUGAGAAGGCUGGCAAGGUCGAUAGAAGUAUAUUGGAUAUACAUUAUGUUAAUGUGUACUUUACUAGUACUCCUAGUAGCACCAGGGUAUUAAGAUACCGGUUAGGUUGCUAAGUGUUAGUAACUCGAAAUAAAAGAGCUGCGGAAUAAACGGAGACUAGCUAAAGGUGAGCUGACGAUAUGUGUUGGAAGUGUUUCCAAGUUUGAUGUGAUCAAACAUCGCACGCUCCCUCUACCAUCAAGAUUAGUAUUAAACCUGAAUAAUUGUCAUUUGGUGUUUGUGUUGAUCAUAGACAUGAUUGGAUUAUGUCUAUCGCAAUACGGUUAUUCAUUUAAGGAGAAUAAUGGUUACUCUAUUUAUUUGAAUAAUACCUUCAAUGGUCUUGCAUCUAAAGGAGUGGUUUAUUGAAUCUCGAUCGUAGUGAUACACAUUUUCAUGCCAAAAGAUAUAAGAUAGUAAUGAUAGUACCACUUACUUGUGGCACUGCCAUGUAAGUCAUAUUGGUAUAAAACGCAUGAAGAAGCUCCAUGUUGAUGGAUCUUUGGACUCGCUCGUUUUGAAUAGUUUGAGACAUGCGAACCAUGUCUAUUGGUGUAUAUGCAUGAAGAAACUCCAUGCAGAUGGAUCGUUUGGACUCACUUGAUUUUGAAUCACUUGAGAUAUGCAAAUCAUACCACAUGGGCAAGAUGACUGAAAAGCCUCGUUUUUCAGUAAGAUGGAACAAGAUAGCAACUUGUUGGAAGUAACACAUUUUGAUGUGUGCAGUCCAAUGAGUGCUGAGGCAUGCAGUGAAUAUCGUUAUGUUCUUACUUCACAGAUGAUUCGAGUAGAUGUUGAGUAUAUUUACUUGAUGAAACACAAGUCUGAAUUAUUGAAUGGUUCAAGUAAUUUCAGAGAGAAGUUGAAGAUCAUCGUGACAAGAGGAUAAAAUGUCUAUGAUAUGAUCAUAGAGAUGAGUAUCUGAGUUACGAGCUUUGGCACGCAACAAAGACAUUGUGGAAAUUGUUUCACAAUUAAUACCGCCUGGAACACCAUAGUGUGAUGGUGUGUCCGAACAUCAUAGUUGCACCCUAUUAGAUAUGGUGCGUACCAUGAUGUCUCUUAUCGAAUUACCACUAUCGUUCAUGGGUUAGGCAUUAGAGACAACCGCACUCACUUUAAUAGGGCACCACGUAAUUUCGUUGAGACGACACCGUUUGAACUAUGGUUUGGAGAAACCUAAGUUGUCGUUUCUUAAAAGUUUGGGGCUGCGACGCUUAUGUGAAAAAGUUUCAGGUUGAUAAGCUCGAACUCAAAGCGGACAAAAUGCAUCUUCAUAGGACACCCAAAACAGUUGGGUAUACCUCCUAAUUCAGAUCCGAAAGCAAUAGGGAUUGUUUCUUGAAUCGGGUCCUUUCUCGAGGAAAAGUUCGUCUCGAAAAUUGAGUGGGAGGAUGGUGGAGACUUGAUGAGGUUAUUGAACCAUCACUUCAACUAGUGUGUAGCAGGGCACAGGAAGUUGUUCCUAUGGCGCCUACACCAAUUGAAGUAGAAGCUUAUGAUAGUGAUCAUGAAGUUUCGGAUCAAGUCACUACCGUACCUCGUAGGGUAACAAGGAUGUGUACUACUUCAGAGUGGUACAGUAAUCUUGUCUUGAAGGUCAUAUUGCUAGACAACAAUGAACCUACGAGCUAUGGGGAAGCGAUGGUGGGCCCAUAUUCCGACAAAUGGUUAGAAGCCAUGAAAUCCGAGAUAGGAUCCAUGUAUCAGAACAAAUCUUGGACUUUGGUGGACUUGCCCGAUGAUCGGCAAGCCAUUGAGAUAAAUGGACCUUUAAGAAGAAGAGGGAUGUGGACGGUAAUGUCACAGUCUAUGAAGCUCGACUUGUGGCGAAGAGUUUUUCACAAGUUCAAGGAGUUGACUACGAUGAGAUUUUCUCAUCCGUAGCGAUGCUUAAGUCCGUCGGAAUCAUGUUAGCAUUAGCUGCAUUUAUGAAAUCUGGCAAAUGGAUGUCAAAACGAGUUUCCUUACCAGUUUUCGUAAGGAAAGGUUGUAUGUGAUACAAUCAGAAAGGUUUUGUCGAUCCUAAGGAUGCUAAAAGGUAUGCUAGCUCUAGCGAUCCUUCCAUGGACUGGAGUAAGCAUCUCGGAGUUGGAAUAUGCACUUUGAUAAGAUGAUCAAAGAUUUUAGGUUUAUACAAAGUUUAUGAGAAACUUGUAUUUCCAAAGAAGUGAGUGGGAGCACUAUAGAAUUUCUGAUGAGUAUAUGUUGUUGACAUAUUGAUGAUCCGAAAUGAUGUAGAAUUUUCUGUAAAGCAUAUAGGGUUAUUUGAAAAGUGUUUUUCAAGUGAAAACCUGGUUUAAGCUACUUGAACAUUGAGUAUCAAGAUCUAUGAGGGUAGAUCAAAAACCGCUUAAUGGUACUUUCAAAUGAGCAUAUACCUUGACAUGAUCUUGAAGGUGUUCAAGAUGGAUCAGUCAAAGAAGGAGUUCUUGCCUGAGAUGUAAGGUAUGAAGUUAAGACUUAAAGCUCGACCAUGGCAGAAAAGAGAGAAAGGAUGAAGGUCGUCCCCUAUGCUUUGGACGUAGGCUCUACAGUAUGCUAUGCUGUGUACCGCACCUGAUGUGUGCCUUGCUACAUAUCUGGCAAGAGGGUACAAAGGUGAUCAAGGAGUGGAUCACCACAUAGCGGUCAAGAUUAUCCUUAGAGGAAUAAGGAUAUGUUUCUCGAUUAUGGAGGUGAUAAAGAGUUCGACGUAAAGGGUUACAUCAAUGCAAGCUUUAACACCUAUCCGAAUGACUCUGAGUAGCAAACCGGAUACGUAUAGUGGAGCAACCAUUUGGAAUAGCUCCAAGUGGAGCGUGGAAGCAGCAUUUACAAUAUGACCUAGAGAUUUGCGAAGUACAUACGGAUCUGAAUGUUGCAGACCCGUUGACUAAAACCUCUCUCACAAGCAAAACAUGAUCAAACCCCAGAACUCAUUGAGUCUUAAUCACAUGAUGAUGUGAACUAGUUUAGUGACACUAGUAAACUCUUUGGAUGUUGGUCACAUGGCGAUGUGACCUGUGAGUGCUAAUCACAUGGCGAUGUGAACUAGAUUAUUGACUCUAGUGCAAAUGGGAGACUAUUGGAAAUAUGCCCUAGAGGCAAUAAUAAAUUAGUUAUUAUUAUAUUUCCUUGUUCAUGAUAAUCGUUUAUUAUCCAUGCUAUAAUUGUAUUGAUAGGAAACUCAGAUACAUGUGUGGGUACAUAGACAACACCAUGUCCCUAGUAAGCCUCUAGUUGACUAGCUCGUUGAUCAAUAGAUGGUUACGGUUUCCUGACCAUGGACAUUGGAUGUCGUUGAUAACGGGAUCACAUCAUUAGGAGAAUGAUGUGAUGGACAAGACCCAAUCCUAAGCCUAGCACAGAGAUCGUGUAGUUCGUAUGCUAAAGCUUUUCUAAUGUCAAGUAUCUUUUCCUUAGACCAUGAGAUUGUGCAACUCCGGAUACCGUAGGAAUGCUUUGGGUGUACCAAACGUCACAACGUAACUGGGUGGCUAUAAAGGUGCACUACAGGUAUCUCCGAAAGUGUCUGUUGGGUUGGCAUGAAUCGAGACUGGGAUUUGUCACUCCGUGUGACGGAGAGGUAUCUCUGGGCCCACUCGGUAGGACAUCAUCAUAAUGUGCACAAUGUGAUCAAAUAGUUGAUCGCGGGAUGAUGUGUUACGGAACGAGUAAAGAGACUUGCCGGUAACGAGAUUGAACAAGGUAUCGGUAUACCGACGAUCGAAUCUCGGGCAAGUACAAUACCGUUAGACAAAGGGAAUUGUAUACGAGAUUGAUUGAGUCCUUGACAUCGUGGUUCAUCCGAUGAGAUCAUCCUGGAACAUGUGGGAGCCAACAUGGGUAUCCAGAUCCCGUUGUUGGUUAUUGACCGGAGAACGUCUCGGUCAUGUCUGCAUGGUUCCCGAACCCGUAGGGUCUACACACUUAAGGUUCGAUGACGCUAGGGUUAUAAAGGAAGUUCAUAUGUGGUUACCGAAUGUUGUUCGGAGUCCUGGAUGAGAUCCCGGACGUCACGAGGAGUUCCGGAAUGGUCCGGAGGUAAAGAUUUAUAUAUGGAAAGUUGUUGUUCGGGUUCCGGAAAAAGUUCGGGUUUUUUCGGUAUUGUACCGGGAAGCUUCCAGAAGGUUCCGGAGGAUUCCGGAGGGGUCCGGAGGUCUGGAAAUUGUUCCACCACGUCCAAUACAGUAGCAUGGGCUGUAGGGGGCGCCCUAGCCUUAAUGGGCCAGGGGCACCAGCCCCCCCAAGGCCCAUGCGCAUGGGAAGGGGAAAACCCUAAGGGGGAGGGCCUCCACUUGACUUGGGAGGCACUCCUCCCCCCCUUGGCCGCCGCCCCCUCCUCAGAUUGGAUCUGAGGGGGCCGGCCCCUUCUCCCUUGCCCCUAUAUAUAUGUGGGGGUGGGAGGGCAGCCGCACCACAAGUUCUGGCGCAGCCCUCCCCCUCUCCCAAGCCCUCCUCCUCUCCCGCGGUGCUUGGCGAAGCCCUGCAGGAUUGCCACGCUCCUCCAUCACCACCACGCCGUUGUGCUGCUGCUGGAUGGAGUCUUCUCAACCUCUCCCUCUCUCCUUGCUGGAUCAAGGCAUGGGAGAUGUCACCGGGCUGUACGUGUGUUGAACACGGAGGUGCCGUCCGUUCGGCACUAGGAUCUCUGGUGAUUUGGAUCACGACGAGUACGACUCCUUCAACCCCGUUCUCUUGAACGCUUCCGCUUAGAGAUCUACAAGGGUAUGUAGAUGCACUCUCCUUCCCCUCAUUGCUGGUUUCUCCAUAGAUAGAUCUUGGUGACACGUAGGAAAAUUUUGAAUUUCUGCUACGUUCCCCAACAGUGGCAUCAUGAGCUAGGUCUAUUGCGUAGAUUCUUUGCACGAGUAGAACACAAAGUAGUUGUGGGCGUUGAUUUUGUUCAAUAUGCUUACCGUUACUAGUCCAAUCUUGUUUCGACAGUAUUGUGGGAUGAAGCGGCCCGGACCGACCUUACACGUACUCUUACGUGAGACAGGUUCCACCGACUGACAUGCACUUGGUGCAUAAGGUGGCUAGCGGGUGCCAGUCUCUCCCACUUUAGUCGGAAUGGAUUCGAUGAAAAGGGUCCUUAUGAAGGGUAAAUAGCAAUUGGCAUAUCACGUUGUGGUUUUGGGUAGGUAAGAAAUGUUCUUGCUAGAAACCCAUAGCAGACACGUAAAACAUGCAAACAACAAUUAGAGGACGUCUAACUUGUUUUUGCAGGGUAUGCUAUGUGAUGUGAUAUGGCCAAGAAGAAUGUGAUGAAUGAUAUGUGAUGUACGAGAUUGAUCAUGUUCUUGUAAUAGGAAUCACGACUUGCAUGUCGAUGAGUAUGACAACCGGCAGGAGCCAUAGGAGUUGUCUUUAUUUAUUGUAUGACCUGCGUGUCAUUGAAAAAUGCCAUGUAAUUACUUUACUUUAUUGCUAACCGGUAGCCAUAGUAGUGGAAGUAAUAAGUUGGCGAGACAACUUCAUGGAGACACGAUGAUGGAGAUCAUGAUGAUGGAGAUCAUGGUGUCAUGCCGGUGACGAUGAUGAUCAUGGAGCCCCGAAGAUGGAGAUCAAAAGGAGCAAUGUGAUAUUGGCCAUAUCAUGUCACUAUUUGAUUGCAUGUGAUGUUUAUCAUGUUUAUGCAUCUUAUUUUCUUAGAUCGACGGUAGUAAAUAAGAUGUUCCCUCAUUAAAAUUUCAAGAAAGUGUUCCCCCUAACUGUGCACCGUUGCGAAAGUUCGUCGUUUCGAAGCACCACGUGAUGAUCGGGUGUGAUAGAUUCUUACGUUCACAUACAACGGGUGUAAGACAGAUUUACACACGCGAAACACUUAGGUUGACUUGACGAGCCUAGCAUGUACAGACAUGGCCUCGGAACACAAGAGACCGAAAGGUCGAGCAUGAGUCGUAUAGUAGAUACGAUCAACAUGAAGAUGUUCACCGAUGAUGACUAGUCCGUCCCACGUGAUGAUCAGACACGACCUAGUUGACUCGGAUCAUGUAAUCACUUAGAUGACUAGAGGGAUGUUUAUCUGAGUGGGAGUUCAUGAGAUGAACUUAAUUAUCCUGAACAUAGUCAAAAGAUCUUUGCAAAUUAUGUCGUAAGCUCGCGCUUUAGUUCCACUGUUUAGAUAUGUUCCUAGAGAAAAUAUAGUUGAAAGUUGACAGUAGCGAUUAUGCGGAUAGAAGAAAGCUUAUGUCCUUAAUGCACCGCUCAGUGUGCUGAACCCCAAACGUCGUCUGUGGAUGUUGCGAACAUCGGACAUACACGUUUUGAUAACUACGUGAUAGUUCAGUUAAACGGUUUAGAGUAGAGGCACCAAAGACGUUUUUGAAACAUCACGAAACAUAUGAGAUGUUUCGAGGACUGAAAUUGGGAGUUCAGGCUCGUGCCCACGUCAAGAGGUAUGAGACCUCCGACGAUUUUCUUAGCCUGCAAACUAAGGGAGAAAAGCUCAAUCGUUGAGCUUGUGCUCAGAUUGUCUGAGUGCAACAGUCACUUGAAUUGAGUGGGAGUUGAUCUUCCAGAGGUAGUGAUGUUUCUCCAAAGUCAUUGCCACCAAGCUGCUAGAGCUUCGUGAUGAACUAUAACAAAUCAGGGAUAGAUAUGAUGAAUCUUGAGAUAUUCGCAAUGUUUGACACCGCGAAAGUACGAAUCAAGAAGGAGCAUCAAUUGUUGAUGGUUGGUGAAACCACUAGUUUCAAGAAGGGCAAGGGAAAGAAGGGAUACUUCAUGAAACAGCAAAUCAGCUACUGCUUUAAUGAAGAAACCCAAGGUUGAACCUAUACCCGAGACUAAGUGCUUCUGUAAUAAGGGGAACAGCCACUGGAGCAGAAUUACCCUAGAUACUUGGUAGAUGAGAAGGCUGGCAAGGUCGAUAGAAGUAUAUUGGAUAUACAUUAUGUUAAUGUGUACUUUACUAGUACUCCUAGUAGCACCAGGGUAUUAAGAUACCGGUUCGGUUGCUAAGUGUUAGUAACUCGAAAUAAAAGAGCUGCGAAAUAAACGGAGACUAGCUAAAGGUGAGCUGACGAUAUGUGUUGGAAGUGUUUCCAAGUUUGAUGUGAUCAAACAUCGCACGCUCCCUCUACCAUCAAGAUUAGUAUUAAACCUGAAUAAUUGUCAUUUGGUGUUUGUGUUGAGCAUAGACAUGAUUGGAUUAUGUCUAUCGCAAUACGGUUAUUCAUUUAAGGAGAAUAAUGGUUACUCCAUUUAUUUGAAUAAUACCUUCAAUGGUCUUGCACCUAAAGGAGUGGUUUAUUGAAUCUCGAUCAUAGUGAUACACAUUCUCAUGCCAAAAGAUAUAAGAUAGUAAUGAUAGUACCACUUACUUGUGGCACUGCCAUGUAAGUCAUAUUGGUAUAAAACGCAUGAAGAAGCUCCAUGUUGAUGGAUAUUUGGACUCACUCCUUUUGAAUAGUUUGAGACAUGCGAACCAUGUCUAUUGGUGUAUAUGCAUGAAGAAACUCCAUGCAGAUGGAUCGUUUAGACUCACUUGAUUUUGAAUCACUUGAGAUAUGCAAAUCAUACCACAUGGGCAAGAUGACUGAAAAGCCUCGUUUUUCACUAAGAUGGAACAAGAUAGCAACUUGUUGGAAGUAACACAUUUUGAUGUGUGCAGUCCAAUGAGUGCUGAGGCAUGCAGUGAAUAUCGUUAUGUUCUUACUUCACAGAUGAUUCGAGUAGAUGUUGAGUAUAUUUACUUGAUGAAACACAAGUCUGAAUUAUUGAAUGGUUCAAGUAAUUUCAGAGAGAAGUUGAAGAUCAUCGUGACAAGAGGAUAAAAUGUCUAUGAUAUGAUCAUAGAGAUGAGUAUCUGAGUUACGAGCUUUGGCACGCAACAAAGACAUUGUGGAAAUUGUUUCACAAUUAAUACCGCCUGGAACACCAUAGUGUGAUGGUGUGUUCAAACAUCAUAGUUGCAACCUAUUAGAUAUGGUGCGUACCAUGAUGUCUCUUAUCGAAUUACCACUAUCUUUCAUGGGUUAGGCAUUAGAGACAACCGCACUCACUUUAAUAGGGCACCACGUAAUUCCGUUGAGAUGACACCAUUUGAACUAUGGUUUGGAGAAACCUAAGUUGUCGUUUCUUAAAAGUUUGGGGCUGCGACGCUUAUGUUUUUCAAGAUGGCACCGUGAUUCUCAGCUUUUAACCAUGGCACGAUGAGGCCAUAUCAUGAUGGCACCGUGCCAUGCGUCAUGUUUUUCAAGCACGUAUUUCAUUUUUCUAUAGUUGAUAACCCAGUAAAUGAUGUGUUUGUGGUUGACUAUUGCCACGCAUUCCCUUGAAAUCUCUGCCCAUUCCUUGUAAAAGGCUUGAGAAUUUACUAAAUACCACAAGUAUGGUUUUUCCAGACCGUUCUUGUGCACCUUUUCAUGUAUGGUUUUUCCAGACCGUUCUUGUGCACCUUUUCAUGCACCGGUUGUUUGAAUUUGAAUUAUGUGGAUUGAUGCCUAGAAAAUACACAUAAUCCCCUAAUAUGAUAAAUGAGCCCGAAAAAACUGCCAAAUUUGAGCAUGUUGCAUUCGAGGGUGUAUGUUGAUUGUAGGAAAAACUGAAUGACAAUCUAGGAAGGAAAUUUGGAUUCCCGGCCCCUUCAAUCUUACUGAUUCCCCUUGAAACCAUGAAAUUUCCUCGGUGAUGGUUUGAUUUAUGAAUGGUGUGCAUGACGACAUAAGACAAACAUUCUAAAAAAUUACCGGGGCAUGGUGAGGCCAUACCAUGGCACCAAGCCAGGGUCAUGUUUUCCAAGCAUGUAUUUCAUUUUUGUAUAGUACCUAGUAAACACAUUUCCUUGAAAUAUCUGCCCAUUCCUUGUAAAAGGCAUGAGAAUUUAGUAAAUAGCACGAUCAUGGUUUUUCGGACCGUUCUCGUGCACCUUUUCAUGCAUCGAUUGUUUGAAUUUGAAUUAUGUGCAUAAAUGCCUAGAAAAUGCACAUAGUCCCCUAAAUAUUGUAAAUAAACCCGGAAAAGUGCCAAAUUUGAAUACGGUGAUUAGCAGGGUUUAUGUUCAUCAUAGAAAAAAACUCAUGGGCAAAGGACAAAGGAAAUUUGAAUUCUCAUUCAAUCUCGGUGAUUCACAUGAUUCAUCUCCGUCGCCUCUGCGAACCGUGUGUGUUCACUCACACAUGCAAAAGGAAAAAAGAAAACCCUCGCCCACUUCGUCCCCACCCACUCGCCGCGGACUCCUCCGCAACUCUGCACCUCAUCAACUUCUAUCACGGCGGACACCCUAAGCUCAACGGCGCUGUUGUCGGCCGGCGAAGGUCACGCUCCAAACAUCACGGGAUUUCGCCCCUACCGCUUUUCGCUGCCUAUCUGCACCGACAUUCUAGACUCUGGUCGACUAGGGUUUUAUGCGGGAUUGGGCUGAGGAUUUUUCUCAUGGAGAAGGUAAUCAACUUAGCGAAAUAUUCACUCGUCUCUUAUCGCUGUUCGUCCGUCGCUGUUAAUCAACUGGCGAAAAUCAUCGUGGAAUCAUUUUUGUUCUAGCUGAUUCGUGGGUGUUCUUUCAUGUGUCCAAAGUACGAGCACAAAUCGGGCAAGUGUGGUCACGGCCAGUCGGAAACGAAGUUCUAUCUCACCAUUCCGGAUGACUUUAGGGAGCGCUCGGUAUAUUCAAUCUCAACCUACCACAGUGGGCAUGGCCUAUAUUUGUGAACAUAUACCAUCUAUUGCUACAUUAUCUAUAUAUUUGCCUAAAAUAUUUGUUAUAUUAUCUAUCUUUAAUUAUAUAUUUUUGUACUUUGCUUUCAUCUAUAUAUUGAUCUGUUCUAUCAGUUACUCCCACAUUUGCAUCUUGCUCUGUUAUUUCAAUAUAUCUAGUUUACGAUCUUAAUUUUCAUUUCAAGCAGUACAUCCCUUGCUUUGCAAGAAUAGGAGUAAAAGGAAAUCUUGGGCUUUGCUUUGUUGAUGACUCCUAGGAUGUCAUAUUGACAACGCCAGCAUGGACUUACAAUGACGAUUAGCGUAAAACUUCAUAAAGAUGGCCACUCCUAUUUUAAUGCGGACAUUUGGAGAAAAAUGUCCAAGUGUUACGAACUGAAAGCCGACAAUAAAAUUCUAGUGCGUGCACCACCGCCUGGUCUAAUUAACAUGAAUGUUUACUUCCCCAACGUCAUCAGCCGAUCAAAGUCUGAUCAAAGUUAGUGUCCUUUCAACUUUCUCCAUGCUGUCAUAUUACUUAGCAAAAUCAGGGUAUUUGUUCUGACUAAUUGAUCGCUAUUUAAGCAACCAAUUGUGAUUUCAUUCUCUAACUCCGUUCCUAGGCAGUAACAAAUUCUAUUUACCAAUUUAUGUGCAUUAUAUAUUUUUCUACCAUGUUCUGAAUAAAUAAUACCUUCCCACCUUUUAAGCAGGAUAUGUUAGAUGCAUAGUAAAUGAUCUGUAUGUUACUAAGCGUACCAAAUUUUACUGGAAGGACUUGAAGCAUGUCAUAAACUUUGUUGAUAAUCUGACAGAGAUAGCACAACGUAUGAAUGCUGGAUUUUGGAUGAGAUUAAUUAUGCCUAUGGUGCACACGUUGAACAAGACCAAUUGUGUGCACAAAACGCUGGUAAAAAGUCUUAUUUUAAUGUUCAUGCAUAAACUAUAUAUAUCUUCAACGAUAUGUUACAAUUAGUUUUUAUUCUACAUUUCAACAGAAAUUGCCCGCUAUAGUAGUUCCUGGUUCAAUUUCCCGGCGUGGUCGAAUUACACUUGUGCCUGCUAAUAAUGCCAAACUGAUUGUAAGGUACUGCAUUUCCCGCAGAAAUGGAACCAUUCAAAUUAACAAGUUCUCGCUUGUCGUGGCAAUGCAUCCAUAUUGGAAAAUUAAAGACACUGUUCUACUCAUGCUCUACCAAGACACGAGAGGGCUCUUCCUUUUCAUUGACAAGAUGACGAGUCACCGUGAUCAAGCUGCUUCUAGCGGAUAGUUGUGGUUGUUAGCCCUCAGCCUCUUAAAAUGUGCUAGUUGUUACUAUGUUAAGUAUGUAGAUAUGGACCAUAUGUUUGUUGGCCCUUAGCCUAUUAAAAUGUGAUAGUUGUUACUAUGUUAAGUAUGUAGAUAUGGACCAUAUGGUUGUCAAAAACGUGUUACGAGGAUCCUCAUUUUGUCGAACAGUGUAACCACUAUAUAUAUGUUGCUCAAAUGUUGUUAGCCAAGUUCUUAAAUUUUCAUGAAAAAUAUUAGUAUCAUACACAGUUCAUUGAGUUUAAGCGUGUGUCCGAUGUCCAGAACUCAUUUGCAUAUUAACUGUCCAUAUUGCAAAUUCACACACAUGUUAACAUAAGGAAACGUAUGUGUAACUUACUAAUCAUCGCACACGAGUACUCGCAGACGCAUCGUGUGCGAUACCUAGGCACCGCAAGCAACUAGUUUGCAUUUUUCAAAGUUUUUUGACACACAGAAUCAUACACAAACUUACUAUAUUAACCGUAUGUGUUAUAAUUUCUUAUCGCAAAUAGUUCAUCCAAGUCGGCUAUUUUCCACGUAUCAGACACAUCUUGUUUAUAGGAAUCAUUUGUGUUCUUUUGGCUCAUCGCAAAUAGUUCAUUCAUGUGAAUUGGAUGCCGCAUAUUACACACAUCUUGUUAAGUUGAACCGUUUCUGUUGUGUUCCUUAAUCGAAAACAGUUUGUCCGAGUGAAUCGUAUGCCGCAUAUCACACACACCUUGAUCUGGCUAACCGUUUUUGUUGCACUCCCUAAUAGCAAACAGUUCAUUGGAGCGAACUGUAUGCCGUAUAUCGCACACACAUUGAUAUGGCUGCCCAUUUCUUUUGUUCUGCCUUAUCACAAACAAUUCGGAUGAAUUAACCGUGUGCCCUGCAUCGCACACGCAACUAAAAUCUGAACCGUAUUUGAUGGCUCCGCCUCGCAAACGUUUUGCACAUUUUUGACGGUUUUUUACACCACUGUCUGUGAUUAAUGCAUAGCACAUAGUUUUAUCAAAGGGUCUCUGAUCGUAGUAUCGCGUUAGCAGCAUCCUGUAGUAGUGGGCGCGGAGAGGCGUGUGGGUGGUGGGGAGGGUGGGAGAGGGUAUACUUGCGUGGGAGGUGGGGGGGAAGUUGGGAUGUGGAAAGUGCGUGGGAGGGGGGGUCGAGUGCGUUGGGCUUCUUUCAGUUGGGCCUGGUACGACGAUCGGCCUCAUGAGCGGGAGGGUGCUCGACUCGCAGGAGGGGGGAGGAUCGUAUGGCAGAUUUCCUAUCGAGCACACCGUUGCCAAAUUUCACUAUCCUUCAGAAAAUACUAAAGAAAACAAAAUAAAACUUUUUUUGUAACAUACAUAGUCAACUAGUAUGCUCGCAUAGUUUCACAAAUAAAUGACAUUUGCGGUAUUUCAGGAAAAAAAUCAAAGCUAUGAUAAACACACCAUUUGAUGAAUAAUAAGGUCUCAAUUAUAUUUUCUUCAUGGAGCUCGGUCGGCCCAACUGCGGUUGUCUGCGAGCAGUUUUGGGGAGCUUGGGGAUGGUUCCGAGAGCCUUCUGCACAGUUUUUGGAAGGUCCCAUCUUUGUUUUUCUUUUCUUGACCUUGUUUAUUUUCAAAUUCACAGAAUUUUCGAAACCCUUCUGGUUUUAGUGUAUGAACAUUUUUUACAUGCCAUGAAAAUUUAAAAAUAUACAUAUUUUUUAUUGUUUAAUGAUUUUUUUCUAAAAUGCGAACAGGUUUAAGUAUUAUGAUUAUUUUUAAAUGAUAUGAAGGUUUUAAUAUGUUAUGAAUAAUAUAUAAAAAUUCCACGAACAAAUUUUAAAAUUGCAUGAAUUUUUUAAAAAAAUCAUGACACAUUUCUAAGGCCCUGUUCCGAUAUCCACCAGAUCCGUGAAAUUAGAGGAGUUGCAGAGCACCUAAUUUCCAGCUCCAGUAUUUUAGGCUACAACUCCGCCGGCUCCGCGGAGCCCAGUCUGGGAGCCGAGGGAUUCCGAGCACUCCCUAAAUGUCAUGGAUUUUUUAAUAGUAAGAAUAUUUUUUUGAGAUUAUGUGAACACAUUUUUACAUAUUCAUGAAGAUUUCAUGAACAUAUUUAUAAACAUGUUAACAUUUUAAAAAUGUCACAAAAUAGUUUUUAUAAUUAUAGAAUUUUUUAAGAAAAAAUGCACAACCAAAUUUUUACAUUGCAGUAACAAUUUUUAAUGUCGUUGAACAUUUGAAAAAUUUAAGUAAUUAAAUUUAAGAAAUGCUAAAAAUAUGUUGUCAGGUUUUUAAGCAUGGCAAAUUGAAUAUUUUUUAUAGAAAAUUAAGUUGUCGUGAAUUUCUUUUACCGCACCUGGCAAUUACUGGUAAAAAAUAAACAUGGCAAGGAUUUGCCAUGCUUGCUAGAUGAAAUUUUUCAUCCUCAUGACAAACAUAAUUGCCAUCUUGGGCAUUUGAUUUGCCAUGUUUAAAAUUUUGAGGUUUGCUUUUUUAUUGAAAUCCUAAAUUUUUUCCCCCAUAAGUCUAUUUAAAUCAUUUUGGAAUAUACAAUAGGUAAUAAAAAAUUGCAAGCUAACUCCACUCGAGGCAGACAGGCACAAGGAGAAAAUCAGCAACGCAGUGGGCCGGCCCAUAUAAGAACAACAAGCUCCAUCUCACACAAAAAGCAAGAUGCAUUCACUUCAAAAGAAAUUUUAAGAAAGAUACAUACGCUCCGACAACCAUGCUCCAAAAUUCAUGAAAUCGAGGUGUUUUUCACUUAUAAAAAUAAAAGCAAAAAGCCUAUUCUUAUGUGUUGCUGCACAACAUUUUUAGAACACCAUAAGCAUGUUUUUUAGAACUCCAUCUAUUCUAAAAAUGUUGUGCACGCGAUAUUCUCGAAAAGAAAACCAUUUACUUCUUCAAUCAGUCAUCCUGGCUCCACCAGGCUGCACCGCUGCUGCUAACGAGCAGAUGGAGUGGGCUCACAACCUCCCAAGGCGUUUUACUCUGCUUCCAGCGGGACCAAGCCAUGUCGCUGCACCCGGGCCGGCACAGUCACGCAGGUCACUAGGUCAGCGUGCUCUUGUUGCCCCACCCCCACCCCCACCACACCCCAGGCCGCGGCAUAGUACAACAAGGCCCACACCCCGCCCGGACCCGGGCCCUCAAAAUCUAGCCAGCUCGACGCCCGCCCCCUCCCACCGGUCGGCCGGGUCGCUGCGCCGCAUUACGCCCGUCACGAGCACUCGAUGCGCUCCGUCGACGGCGUGCGUGCUCCGCGUGUGCCCUUGUAAGCAAAUUAAAAGCGCCACAAGGCCACAACGUCCAUGUCGGAACUUCAAAUUCAAAAAAGAAAAAGAAAAUGCUGCGGUCGUGUGCCUCGACCGAUCCAUCGAUCGAGCUCAUGGCAAGCAGGCAGUUUAAUGAUUCGACGGGCGUACGGCCGGGCGAGCAUGUGUGGUGGUGGUAUGUACCCUAGCAUGAAUGAAUGAAUGCGGAAGCCGAGCCCGUCCAACGGACUGGAUCCAUCCAUCGGCGCAGGCAGCUGCGUCGCGUUAUUCUCGUCACGGGGUUGUAGCUAGCUAUAGUUAGGCGUACAUUACAUGCAUGCAUGGCUGUUCUGAAUUUCUGUCUGGAUCAUGUAUGUAUCUGAAUCUGAUCAGUGGUGGUGAUCUCUGUCUGUCUGCCUGCCUGCAGCAGCCCAGCCCUGCGUACGUACGUGCCAGAGAUCGGCAGCAGCUAAUUAACGGAGCUCGGCUAGCCGGUUACUCUUCGCUACACAGUAUAUUUAUGUCGAAACGGGAAAAACAACAACUUAGCCCCAAUCCAACCCGUUCUGCGUGCUCUGUCAGAGCCGUGGAGAGAUGCGUGAAAUAUGUCUACUCUUCUCUUGGUCUGCCGACGACGAAGCUCAGCGAACAAGUGCAAAUGAAUGUCGGGCGAGCCCCAGGCCCAAAUGAUCUACUCCUAUCUGCAUUGCAUUGCAUGGCCCCCGCACCGGGCACCAAGUUGCGGUGCUCGCUCGCUCGGUCAAAGUGUCAACCAGCUAGGGACACGGUAGCUGCACCAUAUUACGAUGCUCACGAGCCAUAACUCCUCACGCGCCGCGGCUCCGUCCAUCUCAACGUCUCGCAGGUCGCAGCAACAACAAGCAGGCACAGCACAUGGCACGGCGACCCCUCAAAUCAAAGUCCGAUGCUGCAGGCAGGGGAAACAAACCGACCGAUCUACAACAACUAGCGCGCUCGAUCUGCCCAUGGAUGGAUGGACCUCACGAGUCACGAGCAAUAAAUCCACCUGCCUGGCCCCCGAACCCGCAACAAAGAAGAAAGGGUCGCUCGCGUCUUCCCAAGCCCACUUUCUGGUAGCCAAGCCCUCACGUUACGCUAUUGCUAGGCUGGGCUGGGUUGUUGCGUCGCAUUACGAGCUCCUCACGAGCGUACGUGUGCGCGCGCCCAUCGGUCGGCUCCAUCUCAUUUUUCUCCUCCACCCUGAACUGAACUGAGGCCAGUCGGGGCAGCAACGUGGCCCAAGCGCCCCAGAUUGGCACGGCACGGUGGGUUGUUGCUGCGUCAACCACCGCAUCACGAGUAAUAAACCCGGCUACCAUUUCUCCUUGCGUGGACGUGGAUCUCACACGCAUCCACGAUCAGUUGUUCCACGAUAUGCGUGUCCUCUUCCCUUGUCGCGCGCGCACAGGCACAGUGCUGCUGCCGCUGCUACAGCUGCCUGUGCUGUGCUAUGCUACGCUAGCUGCCACCCCUCUGUUGCGGCGUCAUCACAAGUUCAGAACAGGAGGGCAGCAGUCGGCAGAGCCAACGGGGAAAGGUGGCACGGGAAACUACUCGUCACUGCCACAGUGCACGCCUCUUUCCCCCCUUUGGAUCUAUCCAGCCUCGUCGCCACUCCCUCUAAUAAAAAUUUGUAACAGGAGUUUAAUAUUUGGCCUCUGCCACUGUGAUUCCAACGUAAGAUUUAGAAGUUCAGAACUACUAUUACCACUACGCUGCGGUGCUGUAGAAAGCAACACCUGUCUUAUUGCCUGUCCCGUCCUGGGUGUAGUUUAGUUUAAUUUAGCUUAGGCUCAUCAUCGCCACUCGCCAGUAUCUCUCUCUCGGAGGCAGACUCGGGACGGGAGAAGAGGAUCGGAGCAGCUGCUAAUGACAACAGUUGCCACCUUUGUCGGUUGCAGGGAGGAUGGAUCGACGAAGGCACCAGGCGGCACUCUGACGGAGGCAUUAGGAACGAGAAGCGAUGGAAUCAUACGUACUGCUACCUCGGUGGCGUGAUAGAUGCUAGCUUUUGGUGCUUGGACGCGCUCGCCCGUGCGUUGCGUCCGGCCUAGACAUGUCCCUGUCGCUGACUGACUGCAAACCAACGAUAUACGCUACGCGCGGAGACGGGUGCGUCCAAGGCGGUGGAGCCAGACGGCGUCUUUGCUCCAUGGACCGACCGGCCUCGGCCCAUCCAUCCAUGGAACGCCGUGGCAAACGACAAGGCGCGCGCCUGCCUGCCUGUCCGCCCGUGCGCGGCCGCCCCGACCUCCUCAGAUCGAUCGAUCGAUCGAUCUGUCCUCCACCUCGCGCGAGCCGGCCACCGCCGCGCAAUCCAUUUCCUUCGUCUACGUGCGCGGGCGGGGCACCGAAAUCCGACUUCUGCCCGUUGCCGCGCGCCACCACCACGCACGGUGCAUGGCAGCAAGCGGUUCAAUUUCCGGACCAUGCAUGGUGAACGACGGAGGUGAGUCUCCAAAUGACAUGAUGUCUCAGUCUCUCAAAAAUGCUCGUAGAAUGCGUUUAUAGUAUAUGAGCAUAUGCGUGUGUACUGUGUUGUAGAAUGCGUCUUUCUUAAACACGGUACAUUAACAGAGGUAAGAUUCCGACAUGCAUGUACUCAAAACAUUCCCGCAAAAUAAAGUUGCAUGUAAACACAUUGUUAAUCUGGCUGACAAUUUGGAGUCACCAGCGCCCGUGCGCAAGGAAAAGUCGCGGAGAGGGAGAUCUAUCGACCGAUCGACGCAUGUUGUAACCCGGCCGCCUUGUUCGUUUCCCUCUCUUGUACCCAUUGCUCGAUGGCGAUCGAUCGAGAGAAUCCUAGGGCCAAGAUAAAAACAAGCAAUUUUCCUUCCUGUUUUCAUUUUGGAUCGGUCGAAGGAGAUAGAAAAUAAGAAUCCUAUGGCGCAACGGAUUAAUCAAACGCGCACGUUAAAACACUAUAGCUCCGCGGCAGCUGGGCGACUAAUUUGGCGCCAGAUUGAUUGGUUCUUUAACCCGCAAAAGAACGAAAAAAAUGGCGCCAGAUCUACGCGUCACGCUCGAUGUUUCAUCCACACUUUCAAAUCGGUCCAAACCAACUGCCGCCUUGCAACACAAAACUAGUUUUAAAACUAUACAUAUGCACCGAUGAUCGUGUGCGUCACAUCGAUCGUUAACCAAUAUAUGAAUUACGGGUCUGCACUCUGCAGGGCAGCAAGUGAUGUUCUUGUUCUCCUGUCAGACAGCAAAAACUUCGAUUAGCAUUUUUUACGCUUAUCAUUUCUGGAGGCGUCGAUCUCGAUCACAUGAUGGUGAUAAGACAAUGUGCGAAGAAGAUUACGCCGGGACAAAACGUACAGAACGGCCAUCUCUUGCGAUCAUGCGUGCUGCUGUGAGCAUGUGCACAUAUACCGCCCAAGAAAAAAUCGGACGGAUUUUCUUGGGAUCCGAUGGCUCUAAUUAACUCUUUUCACCUCGCACGAAAUCACAUCAUAUUUGAUGUGAAGAUGUCAUUUUAGUAGGGAGAGUGCCCCUGAGUCCAUGCAAGUGACUGUAACUUGGUUAGAAACUUAUGUAAUUAACAUGUGCUUGGAUGGAUACGAGACAGUGGUAUCACAACCUAUCAGGGUUAAGCUCUAGACUUGACAUUUGAUGUGGUUCUGAAUUUAUUUCGGUUCUUCUGACGAUGUGCGUUUAAUGAGAGAAAACGUUUUCGUUAACUACGAAGGUGUCUGUGGUGACUUCGUUAAUCUUAAAAUAAUGUGUCGUUUUAGUCUUCCAGAGACGCUCAUAGGAUAGGGUGUGCGUGUUUGCGUUCGAACAAAUGAAUCAUAUGUGUAUGUAUGAGCGUCUAUGUCUGUAACCUGCUAAAAAAAACUAAUUAACCUGCCGAUGUGUGUAGAUUGGCGAGGUAUAGUAGUUUAUAUUUUUCUUGUCCUUUUUUUUAACUUUGACAUUUCCACUGCUUUAUUUAAGAAACAAUUACCACUACUCGCCACGUCUCUCUGCACGUGAGCUGUGUCUUUCUCCUAUCCGUUAUACGUACGUAGUGAGAAUCUGAGAUUGUCCGUAGAUUGCCAAUUUUAAUGCUAUAAUAACCUCUCCUGAUCUAGCCUGCAAAUCAACCAAAAUGUAGUUCCAUGUCUGAGCAAAUUGACCUGAAAUUUAACGCGUCUCCUUUUUUUUUGGAUAAAAAUUUGACCUGUUAAUUAAAUUCCACAGAGGACCUCGCAAGUCUCUCUCCUGAAAUACUCGCUAGACAAAACACAAAAAGGUUUUAGGUACUGUGGCAAAAUUUAAGGUUCUUGCUCUAGGAAAUAGUAAAAUUCAAUUCUGUUUGGUUCAGUUGGGGUAGGUUCUUUCUAAUGUUUACAUGGACCCACGGUGCAGAGACCCUACUAGGUAUGAUGCGAGGCCACCCCCACCCUUUGCUUUGCCUGUAAAAAGCAGCAGUUGGCAACUGGCAUGGCUGCAGCCUCGACUCCUUGACCCAACAGCCCCCUCCCAGGGGCACUGUCCUCCCCUCCUUGUAUGAAAAAAAGAAGCUGCAGGCGCCAAUAAGUUUUCAUCGCAGGCUUUUUACCGGCUCUUUUAGGUGAAUUUAUUGAACACUCAUUCAAUCAAUCAUGCUGCCCUACCACCUUCAUUCACACACACACAAAAAAAAAGUUUAGUGAAAGUGAGAUUAGCACUCAAAUCAUACAGCUGCAAAGCCUGCAUACUGAUGUUAAAAGAUAAUGUGGUGAUGAGUUCCAGAAGAAAGAAUAAUCACUUUGGGACUGCCAUGAGCCAUGCUGGUUAAGAAGAGCACAUGAACCCUACCUGUUCUAUAUUUAAAUGGCUUUAUGUGAGGCUCCAAAGUGCUCCUAAAGAGGAAAAUGUCUAGAUCUCAUAGUCCCAUGAGGUAGGUAUGCUUGAAUCUUGCAAUCUGUUUGAUUGGAGAAAAUGGGAUAAACAACUCCACCAGAAAAACAAAACACAGACAUGGCCAUGGAAAUGGCAUGAUUCCACCAUUAGUUUAUGAGCUAAACCACACUUGAUUAACAUAUUUACCAUACUACUAAUGGAAAAAUGGGGAGCGCAGUAAGAGGAAUGCAUUGAUGAAUCAGCAGCAGCACUGCCCUUUUGAGCACUGGAAUGCAAUGCAGGCAACAAAAAACUGAAACAAGAACACACUUGUAAAGAAACAAAACGAAAAUCCAUUUUUGUUGAUUUUCUCAUAUCUUCAGUCUCUCAUAUCCACAAAGAUAUCAUCAAAAAGCCCUCGGAGAAGGGAAAGGGGAAAUAAAUAAGAAAUACCUAAAAUGAAGAAGGGGAGACAAAAUUGUAUAGAGGAAGAAGACUCUCCCUCCUCCCAUCAGCACACACCCUCCUCUCUUCUUUCAGAGUUCAAGAAGCUUAUUGUUGCUGCCCAUAAUCCUCUAACCGCCACAAUGCUCGAUAAUUACUGUUGCACCACAACUUCGUUUCCAUGAUGAUCGAUGGACGGGCUUUCGGGGUAAGAAAGAUCGACGAUAACUCAAUGAACAAGCCGAGAGCAGCACCAAGCUAUAUAUGUACAGCGCAUCAGAUCGGCGAUGCGCUUAGCCUUCUCCUCUUGGAAGCUGGAGUGGAGGCCUGAUCGUUGCUGCUACUGUUGUUGUUCGAGGGUGAUGACCCUGGUGCUGUGUCAUCAUUCCUGAAGCUGAAGCAUGGCACAUCCAGCACCCCGAUCGGGCUCAGCGGCGCUGAAAGGCUCGCGUUGAAGUUACCUCUCUUCUUCACCAACAGCGCGUAGCAUCCCGCAAUCAUCUCCU